GAAUCAACGCUGGCGGCGUGCCUCAGACAUGCAAGUCGAACGCGAAAGUUUCCUUCGGGAAGCGAGUAGAGUGGCGUCCGGGUGAGUAACACGUAGGUAAUCUACCUUUGGGUGGGGAAUAACAACCGGAAACGGUUGCUAAUACCGCAUAAUGCAGCGGCACCACAUGGUGACAGUUGUUAAAGCGGGGGAUCGCAAGACCUCGCGCCUAAAGAGGAGCCUGCGGCGGAUUAGCUAGUGGUAAGGUAACGGCUUACCAAGGCAACGAUCCGUAGCCGGCCUGAGAGGGCGGUCGGCCACACUGACACUGAAAUACGGGUCAGACUCCUACGGGAGGCAGCAGUCGGG
rnacentral:rRNA from 1 species